AAUAGAUACCCAGGUAGUCCACGCCGUAAACGAUGAAUACUAGGUGUAGGGGUUGUCAUGACCUCUGUGCCGCCGCUAACGCAUUAAGUAUUCCGCCUGGGGAGUACGGUCGCAAGAUUAAAACUCAAAGGAAUUGACGGGGGCCCGCACAAGCAGCGGAGCAUGUGGUUUAAUUCGAAGCAACGCGAAGAACCUUACCUAGACUUGACAUCUCCUGAAUUACCCUUAAUCGGGGAAGCCCUUCGGGGCAGGAAGACAGGUGGUGCAUGGUUGUCGUCAGCUCGUGUCGUGAGAUGUUGGGUUAAGUCCCGCAACGAGCGCAACCCUUAUUGUUAGUUGCUACCAUUUAGUUGAGCACUCUAGCGAGACUGCCCGGGUUAACCGGGAGGAAGGUGGGGAUGACGUCAAAUCAUCAUGCCCCUUAUGUCUAGGGCUACACACGUGCUACAAUGGCUGGUACAGAGAGAUGCUAAACCGCGAGGUGGAGCCAAACUUCAAAACCAGUCUCAGUUCGGAUUGUAGGCUGAAACUCGCCUACA
rnacentral:rRNA from 1 species